AGAGUUUGAUCCUGGCUCAGGAUGAACGCUGGCGGCGUGCUUAACACAUGCAAGUCGAGCGAAGCACUUAUGAAAGAUUCUUCGGAUGAAUUCAUUUGUGACUGAGCGGCGGACGGGUGAGUAACGCGUGGGUAACCUGCCUCAUACAGGGGGAUAACAGUUGGAAACGACUGCUAAUACCGCAUAAGCGCACAGUACCGCAUGGUACCGUGUGAAAAACUCCGGUGGUAUGAGAUGGACCCGCGUCUGAUUAGCUAGUUGGUGGGGUAACGGCCUACCAAGGCGACGAUCAGUAGCCGACCUGAGAGGGUGACCGGCCACAUUGGGACUGAGACACGGCCCAAACUCCUACGGGAGGCAGCAGUGGGGAAUAUUGCACAAUGGGGGAAACCCUGAUGCAGCAACGCCGCGUGAGUGAAGAAGUAUUUCGGUAUGUAAAGCUCUAUCAGCAGGGAAGAAAAUGACGGUACCUGACUAAGAAGCCCCGGCUAACUACGUGCCAGCAGCCGCGGUAAUACGUAGGGGGCAAGCGUUAUCCGGAAUUACUGGGUGUAAAGGGAGCGUAGGCGGGAUCGCAAGUCAGAUGUGAAAACUAUGGGCUUAACCCAUAAACUGCAUUUGAAACUGUGGUUCUUGAGUGAAGUAGAGGUAAGCGGAAUUCCUAGUGUAGCGGUGAAAUGCGUAGAUAUUAGGAGGAACAUCAGUGGCGAAGGCGGCUUACUGGGCUUUAACUGACGCUGAGGCUCGAAAGCGUGGGGAGCAAACAGGAUUAGAUACCCUGGUAGUCCACGCCGUAAACGAUGAUUACUAGGUGUGGGGGGACUGACCCCUUCCUGCCCCGCAAAACCCAUAAGUAAUCCACCUGGGGAGGACCAACGCCAGGGUGAAACUCAAAGGAAUUGACGGGGGCCCGCACAAGCAGUGGAGUAUGUGGAUUAAUUCGAAGCAACGUGAAGAACCUUACCAGGUCUUGACAUCGGAUGCAUACUUAAGAGAUUAGGGAAGUCCUUCGGGACAUCCAGACAGGUGGUGCAUGGUUGUCGUCAGCUCGUGUCGUGAGAUGUUGGGUUAAGUCCCGCAACGAGCGCAACCCUUACGGUUAGUUGAUACGCAAGAUCACUUUAGCCGGACUGCCGUUGUCAAAACGGAGGAAGGUGGGGAGGACGUCAAAUCAUCAUGCCCCUUAUGACCUGGGCUACACACGUACUACAAUGGCAGUCAUACAGAGGGAAGCAAAACCGCGAGGUGGAGCAAAUCCCUAAAAGCUGUCCCAUUUCAGAAUACUGGCUGCAACCCGCCUGCAUGAAGUCGGAAUUGCUAGUAAUCGCGGAUCAGCAUGGCGCGGUGAAUAAAAUCCCGGGCCUUGUACUCACCGCCCGUCA
rnacentral:rRNA from 1 species